GCUGGUGCAGGUGAUGACACUUUCCCCGUCAGAGCGACAGUGUUGAUCUCUCGCUGUUAAAGCCAGAUCACAUCUGAUGCGCCAGC